rnacentral:pre_miRNA from 1 species
UGUUGUUGUUGCUGCUGCUGCUGCUGUUGCUGCUGCUGCUGCUGCUGCACUAGGGGCAGCAGCAGCAGCAGCAGCAGCAGCAGCAGCAGCAGCAGCG